rnacentral:rRNA from 1 species
GACAGAGGGGGCAAGCGUUGCUCGGAAUUACUGGGCGUAAAGCGCACGUAGGCGGCUUUGUAAGUUAGAGGUGAAAGCCCGGGGCUCAACUCCGGAACUGCCUUUAAGACUGCAUCGCUAGAAUUGUGGAGAGGUAAGUGGAAUUCCGAGUGUAGAGGUGAAAUUCGUAGAUAUUCGGAAGAACACCAGUGGCGAAGGCGACUUACUGGACACAUAUUGACGCUGAGGUGCGAAAGCGUGGGGAGCAAACAGG